UACGAAGGUGGCAAGCGUUGUUCGGAAUUACUGGGCGUAAAGGGCGCGUAGGCGGCCUGCUAAGUCGGACGUGAAAUCCCUCGGCUCAACCGGGGAACUGCGUCCGAUACUGGUGGGCUCGAAUCCGGGAGAGGGAUGUGGAAUUCCAGGUGUAGCGGUGAAAUGCGUAGAUAUCUGGAGGAACACCGGUGGCGAAGGCGGCAUCCUGGACCGGUAUUGACGCUGAUGCGCGAAAGCCAGGGGAGCAAACGGG
rnacentral:rRNA from 1 species